rnacentral:rRNA from 1 species
GUAGGGAAUCUUCCGCAAUGGACGAAAGUCUGACGGAGCAACGCCGCGUGAGUGAAGAAGGGUUUCGGCUCGUAAAACUCUGUUGUCAGGGAAGAACGCCGACGGGAGUAACUGCCCGUCGGGUGACGGUACCUGACCAGAAAGCCACGGCUAACUACGUGCCAGCAGCCGCGGUAAUACGUAGGUGGCAAGCGUUAUCCGGAAUUAUUGGGCGUAAAGCGCGCGUAGGCGGUUCGUUAAGUCUGAUGUGAAAGCCCCCGGCUCAACCGGGGAGGGUCAUUGGAAACUGGCGGACUUGAGUGCAGAAGAGGAGAGUGGAAUUCCAUGUGUAGCGGUGAAAUGCGCAGAGAUAUGGAGGAACACCAGUGGCGAAGGCGGCUCUCUGGUCUGCAACUGACGCUGAGGUGCGAAAGCGUGGGGAUCAAACAGGAUUAGAAACCCUAGUAGUCC